rnacentral:rRNA from 1 species
ACACUGUGCCCGACCGGGGGCGCGGACGGCCCGGCCAGCCGGCGCCGGCCGCCCCCUGUGUCGCUAAGCAAUCGGAUAAAUCACACGACUCUCGGCAACGGAUAUCUCGGCUCUCGCAUCGAUGAAGAACGUAGCGAAAUGCGAUACCUGGUGUGAAUUGCAGAAUC